UACGUAGGGGGCUAGCGUUGUCCGGAUUUAUUGGGCGUAAAGAGCGUGUAGGCGGCCAGGUAGGUCUGCUGUGAAAACUCGAGGCUCAACCUCGAGACGUCGGCGGAAACCAUCUGGCUAGAGUCCGGAAGAGGAGAGUGGAAUUCCUGGUGUAGCGGUGAAAUGCACAGAUAUCAGGAAGAACACCCGUGGCGAAGGCGGUUCUCUGGGACGGUACUGACGCUGAGACGCGAAAGCGUGGGGAGCGAACAGG
rnacentral:rRNA from 1 species